rnacentral:tRNA from 1 species
UGGGCUGGGGCUCGGGGUAGAGUGCUCGCCUGGCACACGAGAGGCCCUGGGUUCCAUCCUCAGCACCACAU